AUGGUAUUUUACAGGCUCAAAUCAAGGGGAAGCAGCUCCUCUCGCUGCUGUGGGACGGUGAGCACAGUGAUCGUGCUCCUCUCUGCGGUGGGGAAGCUCUGGCAAAGGGAUGCUCUCCAAGUGUGGUUUCUUUGCCUGUCUCCUGUUUUGGAUGCCAAAGACCUUCCUUUAUUGGAUCCACCUUUUCUGGUGGACAAUCUGGCUGUGGCUUGUCUGUCUCAGUGGAGGAUGCAGUGUCCCUUGAAGGCAGUGCUACUGCCACCCAAAAAAACAGUGAAAGGAAAGCUGUACUGUCUCCAGGACGCCAAGGACACCUCUGCAGGAGCUUGAUUACAGUGCUGGACCUGACUAACAGUGCAAAGACCAGUGCCACCUCAGGAGGUAAGGGUCAUGAUGGAGAAGAAGAGAGAGGGAGGUUGUUUGGUUUGAACUUAGUGUGGGUAGAGGCAGCAAAGGACAGGGAGUGACUGUGGAGCUGUUUGGAAGAGAGGCCUCAGGGACAGGGAAAGGUUUGGUUCAAGAACUACGUGAAGAAUCAGUCAUUGUCAGCACCAGCAGCCUCUUGUGGAUGUCAUGGUAGAUGGGUGUCAGGGACCACAGGCACAUCUGACAAGAAGAGAUAAUUUCUACAGAUGGCAGUUGUAUUCCUGUUCACUCACUAAAGGGAGAGGCAAAUAUUGCUUGGGAGAAGGAGAGAUUUAAAUACUGAGGGAAAGAAAAUGAAUGAAAUGAAUCAAUGGCAGGCUGUAUCUACUGGUGAAGGGAGGCUGGCAGAGGGUACCCUGGGCAGGGACACAAUAAUGUGAAUAUGAGCUUCAGUGCCUGAGAAUGGUUUUAGUCACUAUUCACUAGCAAAGUUGAAGCAUUAGAUAUUUGAUAAAAUUAAAUUUGGUUUGCAUCACCCCAAGUGCCAGAUGAAUCCUGCAUUGUGUCAUCUCAUGCUUCUGUUGUGUUGCCUCAUGCUUACAUUGGAGAAAUUGAAGUCUUAACAUUGUUGGAAAAACACCAGUAGGUUGGUCCUUUCUUUUUCCUUGGAAAGGGAAACACUUCCCAAGGGAAGCACUGUCAUCCAUGAGGGAUGCAGGACACUCUUCCUGCACAAGAAGGCAGGAGACAGUGUAGAUCUUGGAACUUGGCUGUACAGGGCCUUUUCAGAACUGCCAUGUCUGAGGUGGCACAGAGCCAAGAAGUUCUUCACCAAAAUCCCCUUGUAAAAGGGGGCCAAUUGAACAUGCCAUUGCCAGAUGUGGAAGUUUGAAUGAGUGUUACAGCUGCUUGGUCAGAUUUUGCUGCCUUGGUUUCUGGUUGACAGGUGUUAUAAUGGAAGCCCAGUCAUUUCAAUGUAAUUACCUGGGUUGGAAGCAUAAGGCCUAAGGUCAGGGAAACUUCUGCUUCACUUAGCCUUUGUUCAAGACAGCAACUAAAUACACACAGUAGGUGAAAUACAUGCCUAAAAGUAAUUGAAAUUGUAUCUAUGCUUUAAAUGUUUUCUUGAUACUGCUUAAUCCAGUCACCCUUUCAUUUAUGACCUCAUGAAAUAAUUUCAUCUGGAUUAAGCUAGAAUUAAAACCCUGUAAUUAAAGGACCAAACUUUACACCUGAAUGUCUAAAAAUAUCAAAUUAGCUGCUACAAACCCAAGUUAUACAACUUGGCUUUGCACUGCUGCUCCACACAGUGAAGGAACAGCAGAAAAAAAAAAAAAGAAAAAAAGAAAGAAAAAUUAUUAGAAGAUGAAGUUUGCCCUCCAGCUGGACUAUGUUCUUGUAAAAGCGAUAAUCUGCGUCAAAGUGAUCUAAACAGAGCAACCAGCAAAGGAAAUUAAAACUGUCACUCUUUGACACAGGAUACCGCUUGAUAAGAAUGCAGAACAGCUGUAAGCUAAAUGAGCCACAUAAUACUGCAUUUUUCAUGGCGUCCUUUAUACAGACUUCACAAUAAUGUUACCAGCCUAUGGCUCUUGUCUGGCAAUUAAUGAUUUGUGUUGGUAACUUAUUUUUGCCAUUUAGAAAUGUAUUCUUCAUAUUUUGUUGAAAAAGUAACAGGAUAAGCUGUAAUUUGUAACUGCUUUUGGAAUGUGAAUUGUUUUCUAAGUCUUCUGACAAAAGAAAACACAGUUUCCAGGCCUAAAUCCCAAAAAAGCAAAAAUCUGGAACAGACUUACAAGUUUCUUUUAUGUGCAUGGUUUUAAAGAACAAUUUUUACUUAUUUUAUAUGUGUGUGCAUAUAUAUACACAUAAAAUAUAAUUUAAUACAUAUUUUGAAAACAAAAUUUAAAGAAAAGAUAAAACUCCAUCAAACAAUUCAGUGAAACUCUAUUCUCAUUUGGCUGCUUACGUAAUUUUAGAAAAGAAGACCUUGGCAUGUGGAGUAGCUAAUGCUUUCCCAUUUUAAACUGCUUUAUCUUUCAUCCAUUUUCAGUCAUUUCAGGCAAGUUUACUGGAACCAUUUCCUGGGAUUUCUUGGAGUUGCGAAAACACAUCCCUCUGACCCUCACUCUGCAAAAAAGACCCACUUCAGGCCCUGCACUGAACGGGUCUUACCUUGGAAAAGAAUUUCAUUGCCUUCUCCUUUGGACCUGAAGAUGCAAAUAGCAUUCAGGGACUACCAUGCAAGUUAGAUAAAGAAAUACUCUUUUUAUUACUGCUCCAAGAUGGGAAGAAAAUACCCACCCAUGCCUUAGGAGAGAAGGGCAGUGGAAGUGCAGGCUGCUGCACCAGCCUGGGUGCCGGGGUGUGUGGUGCUACCGAAGGGGCUGUUGGGGGUCAUUCUGCCUAGAGAUGGGAAGAGCGACAGGAUCCUCACCUCUGUUCUUCCCUCUACACUGGAGCCUCCCCAGGCAAACCUUUCUACUUUACUUCCCACCCUCUGAAAGAAGGGAGCUCACUCAGCUAAUCCCAUGUGUCCACUUCUGUUGUGUCUUGUAGGUGGUUUCACAGCAUGAGCCCUGUCAGGAGGAUACAUCAGCAGUAUUGCCACUCUCACACCAUGCAUUGAACAAAGAUCCCAAAGAGCAAGGACACUUAAUGUAUAAUAUGGUUUUAAUUUCCUAUAUUUGCUUUACUGGGUAUAUGUUUUGCUUUACUGGGGCAUAUUUAGCUGUUAUUUAAACUCCUAUCUAUGAGCACAAGGCUUCAUAAUUGCUUCUUUAUUAGAAUUAUCAGUAGUAUUACUAUUAGUGAAAGUCUAGUCCACUUUAAGGACUCCAAAGAUAUUAUGGCUUUAAUAACACAUGUUGGAACCCUCAAUAAAGUUGUGAAGCCUCAUGAGGCUCUAAAAUGA
rnacentral:lncRNA from 1 species